UACGUAGGGCGCAAGCGUUGUCCGGAAUUAUUGGGCGUAAAGAGCUCGUAGGCGGCCUGUUACGUCUGCUGUGAAAUCCCGGGGCUUAACCCCGGGCGUGCAGUGGAUACGGGGCAGGCUGGAGGCAGGCAGGGGAGAACGGAAUUCCCGGUGUAGCGGUGAAAUGCGCAGAUAUCGGGAGGAACACCGGUGGCGAAGGCGGUUCUCUGGGCCUGUACUGACGCUGAGGAGCGAAAGCGUGGGGAGCGAACAGG
rnacentral:rRNA from 1 species